rnacentral:rRNA from 1 species
GACGAACGCUGGCGGCGUGCCUAAUACAUGCAAGUCGAGCGGACUGAUUAAGAGCUUGCUCUUAUGACGUUAGCGGCGGACGGGUGAGUAACACGUGGGCAACCUGCCCUGUAGAUCGGGAUAACACCGAGAAAUCGGUGCUAAUACCGGGUAAUAUCUGAGAUCACAUGAUCUUAGGUUAAAAGAUGGCUCCGGCUAUCACUACAGGAUGGGCCCGCGGCGCAUUAGCUAGUUGGUAAGGUAAUGGCUUACCAAGGCGACGAUGCGUAGCCGACCUGAGAGGGUGAUCGGCCACACUGGGACUGAGACACGGCCCAGACUCCUACGGGAGGCAGCAGUAGGGAAUCUUCCGCAAUGGACGAAAGUCUGACGGAGCAACGCCGCGUGAGUGAUGAAGGGUUUCGGCUCGUAAAGCUCUGUUGUUAGGGAAGAAACAGUACCGAACGAACUAGGUCGGUACCUUGACGGUACCUAACCAGAAAGCCACGGCUAACUACGG